rnacentral:rRNA from 1 species
UACGGGGGAGCAAGCGUUGUUCGGAUUUACUGGGCGUAAAGGGCGGGUAGGCGGCCACCGCAAGUCAGUUGUGAAAUCUCUGGGCUUAACCCAGAAAGGUCAACUGAUACUGCGGGCUAGAGUGCAGAAGGGCAACUGGAAUUCUCGGUGUAGCGGUGAAAUGCGUAGAUAUCGAGAGGAACACCUGCGGCGAAGGCGGGUGCUGGGCUGACACUGACGCUGAACUGCGAAAGCUAGGGAGCGAACGGG